UCUUGGAAAUCUUGCACAGAGACCCUGCACGGAGUUAUAAGCAGUAGCCAAAAAUCGUCAUGUCUAAAUGUUAGCUUGCUGGUGGAGUUUAGCAUACAUAUAUCAUUAUAUGUAUAUAUCCUGCUAUAAAUUUUGCGUGUACCUACACACUUGUUACUGAAAACUGUCAGUGUCGAGUCUGUCAACAUCAGUCAUCACAGUGACAUGUAUAGUUGCUACUACUCUCUAGCCUAGACUAGGUCGAUAUGCACAUGUUGGGAAGAUCAGUUAGAAAGCGAAAAGUGCGACCUUGCUUGGCUACAGAACACCACAAGGGUUGUAACAAUUGGACCAGAGACAUAGACAACAAUCAGACAAUGACGUGCACAGUUUUUACAGAUGGGUCACCAGACUGGACUGGAUUCACGACUCAUCACGCCACUAACUCAACUCCUUUAGGUCACAUACAUUUGUACAUCGGAUCAUCAUCAGACGUCAUUUAUGCAAACCCCCAGAGCUCUGCAUCAGUAUGUUCCAUUUGAUAAUUUACCAGGUAAUCGUCAGAUUUACAAAAACAGUAUAUUACUUUUAAGUUAAACCCCUACGUGUACAUGUGAUUCUAACAAAUAACAAACAUAUGUAUAAAGAUAUAAGGCAACUUUUUUCCAAUCUUAUGGUUUAGAUGUAGAUUUGUGUAAUGAUUAUUUCUCAGUUUCUAAACUUAAAUCCACAAAAUAUUGCUGAAUGUGUUAUUUUUAUAUGGAAUGCCGCAUCAUUCGUUAGAAAUAAGAAACAAUUCUUAAUAAUAAGGUUACAGUUAUAUAUUAUUAUUAUAAUUAUAUAUAUAUAAAUAUAUUACAUGUGAAACUUUUAAA